UACAGAGGGUGCGAGCGUUAAUCGGAAUUACUGGGCGUAAAGCGUGCGCAGGCGGUUUUGUAAGACAGAGGUGAAAUCCCCGGGCUCAACCUGGGAACUGCCUUUGUGACUGCAAGGCUGGAGUACGGCAGAGGGGGAUGGAAUUCCGCGUGUAGCAGUGAAAUGCGUAGAUAUGCGGAGGAACACCGAUGGCGAAGGCAGUCCCCUGGGCCUGUACUGACGCUCAUGCACGAAAGCGUGGGGAGCAAACAGG
rnacentral:rRNA from 1 species